rnacentral:rRNA from 1 species
AUUGAACGCUGGCGGCAUGCCUUACACAUGCAAGUCGAACGGCAGCACGGGUGCUUGCACCUGGUGGCGAGUGGCGAACGGGUGAGUAAUACAUCGGAACAUGUCCUGUAGUGGGGGAUAGCCCGGCGAAAGCCGGAUUAAUACCGCAUACGAUCUACGGAUGAAAGCGGGGGACCUUCGGGCCUCGCGCUAUAGGGUUGGCCGAUGGCUGAUUAGCUAGUUGGUGGGGUAAAGGCCUACCAAGGUGACGAUCAGUAGCUGGUCUGAGAGGACGACCAGCCACACUGGGACUGGGACACGGCCCAGACUCCUACGGGAGGCAGCAGUGGGGAAUUUUGGACAAUGGGCGAAAGCCUGAUCCAGCAAUGCCGCGUGUGUGAAGAAGGCCUUCGGGUUGUAAAGCACUUUUGUCCGGAAAGAAAUCCUUGGCCCUAAUACGGUCGGGGGAUGACGGUACCGGAAGAAUAAGCACCGGCUAACUACGUG